rnacentral:rRNA from 1 species
AGAGUUUGAUCCUGGCUCAGGACGAACGCUGGCGGCGUGCCUAAUACAUGCAAGUCGAACGGUCUUUUCUAUGGAAGCUUGCUUCCACUGAGAAGAUAGUGGCGAACGGGUGAGUAACACGUGGGUAACCUGCCCAUAAGAGGGGGAUAACAUCCGGAAACGGGUGCUAAUACCGCAUAGUUUUCUUGGUCGCAUGAUCGAGAAAGGAAAGACGGCCUUUGUGCUGUCGCUUAUGGAUGGACCCGCGGCGUAUUAGUUAGUUGGUGAGGUAAUGGCUCACCAAGACGAUGAUACGUAGCCGACCUGAGAGGGUGAUCGGCCACAUUGGGACUGAGACACGGCCCAAACUCCUACGGGAGGCAGCAGUAGGGAAUCUUCCGCAAUGGACGAAAGUCUGACGGAGCAACGCCGCGUGAGUGAAGAAGGUUUUCGGAUCGUAAAACUCUGUUGUCAGAGAAGAACAAGUCGGAGAGUAACUGCUCCGGCCUUGACGGUAUCUGACCAGAAAGCCACGGCUAACUACGUG